AUGCAUUUAAAGAGUGCGUAACAGCUCACUGGUCAAGUGGACAUGCGCCGACAAUACACGGGGCUAAGUACGAUACCGAAGCAGCGGACUGAUUUAUCAGUGGUAGGGGAGCUUUCUUAUCUGGGUUGAAGCGAAGUGGUAACGCUUCGUGGACUGAUAAGAAGUGAGAAUGCUGGCAUGAGUAACGAGAGAGGAGCGAGAAACUCCUCCGCCGUAAGCCUAAGGGUUCCUGGGCAAGGCUAAUCCUCCCAGGGUCAGUCGGGAGCUAAGGCGAGGCCGGAAGGCGUAGCCGAUGCACAACGGGUCGAUAUUCCCGUACCGCUGACGAGCGUUUGACCGACGGGGUGACGGAGAAGGGUAGCCGGGCGGGGUUCUGGACGUCCCCGUGAAAGCGUGUAGGGUGAUAAGUAGGCAAAUCCGCUUGUCGUAUACCUGAGACGUUAGACGAAGCUCUAAGUGAAGUCGGUAAGCCCAUGCUUCCAAGAAAAACCUCUAAGCAGAAUGCGAGGUGCCCGUACCAAAACCGACACAGGUAGGCGGGUAGAGCAUACCAAGGCGAUCGGGAGAACCAUGGUUAAGGAACUCGGCAUAAUGACUCCGUAACUUCGGGAGAAGGAGUGCCCUUGUUGGUGACUAAACUUGCUUUACGAGCUGAUGAGGGUCGCAGCGAAACGGCCCAAGCGACUGUUUAUCAAAAACACAGGACUCUGCUAAGUCGCAAGACGACGUAUAGGGUCUGACGCCUGCCCGGUGCUGGAAGGUUACGUGGAUGUGUUAGCAUCUCGCGAAGCACUGAAACUAAGCCCCAGUAAACGGCGGCCGUAACUAUAACGGUCCUAAGGUAGCGAAAUUCCUUGUCGGGUAAGUUCCGACCUGCACGAAUGGCGUAACGAUUUGGGCGCUGUCUCAACCAUGGACCCGGUGAAAUUGUAUUAUUCGUGAAGAUGCGAAUUACCUGCGGAAGGACGGAAAGACCCCGUGAACCUUUACUGCAGCUUGGCAUUGGCUGUUGGCACGUCGUGUAGAGGAUAGGUGGGAGACUGUGAAGCAGAAACGCCAGUUUCUGUGGAGUCACCCUUGGAAUACCACCCUCGGCUUGCUGGCAGCCUAACGUGUGACCGUUAUCCGGCACACGGACCGUGCCAGGUGGGUAGUUUGACUGGGGCGGUCGCCUCCUAAAUGGUAACGGAGGCGUGCGUAAGGUUCGCUCAGGAUGGUUGGCAAUCAUCCGUAGAGCACAAGAGUAUAAGCGAGCUUGACUGCGAGACCUACAAGUCGAGCAGAGACGAAAGUCGGUUCUAGUGAUCCGGCGGCCCAGCGUGGAAUGGCCGUCGCUCAACGGAUAAAAGGUACUCCGGGGAUAACAGGCUGAUCUUGCCCAAGAGUCCACAUCGACGGCAAGGUUUGGCACCUCGAUGUCGGCUCAUCGCAUCCUGGGGCUGUAGCAGGUCCCAAGGGUAUGGCUGUUCGCCAUUUAAAGCGGUACGCGAGCUGGGUUCAGAACGUCGUGAGACAGUUCGGUCCCUAUCCUCCGUGGGCGUAAGAGAAUUGAGAGGAUCUGUCCCUAGUACGAGAGGACCGGGAUGGACGGACCUCCGGUGUCGCAGUUGUUGACCAACAGCAUGGCUGCCUAGCCGCGUCCGGAUGUGAUAACCGCUGAAAGCAUCUAAGUGGGAAGCCGACCUCAAGAUGAGUUCUCUUUUUGGUAAGGCCACUUCUAGACUAGGAGUUUGAUAGGCCGCAGCUGUAAGGCGAGCAAUCGUUUCAGGCGAGCGGUACUAAUCGGCCGAGCUCUUCAUCU
rnacentral:rRNA from 1 species